UCCUCACUUUCCACCCAAUUUUCCAGUCCUCCACGAUAGUCUUGCAGUUUGGAAUUUGAUCUGAAAAAAAAUGGAUAAGGAAUGGACCCUGCUGGGAAAAAUACAAAUCAAUGCUCACACACACAGAGUGAAACUACAAGCACCCUGAACAAGAAGAAGAAAAUGGGCACAGAAACUUUACGCGAUUCGGUCAAAAUAGACCUACGUCACCACCGCGCACACACAAAUUCCAUUACUGUGAAAAUUACAAAUACCAAUCUCUGGAUUCUCAUACUUCUCACUCACCCUCCUCUCUCUAUUUCUCUCUCUGAUUUUUUCUUGUUUUUUUUCACACCCCAAUAGUCUGCAGAACAAAUGCAUAAAUAGCUGAAAAUCAAGCAAUUUCCAAAACAUCUAUUGGGGAUGAGGGCAGUCACCGCCCACCAUGAAUGAGUAUUGGAACUGAGAGUAAUCAACUUCUGAAAAAGAAGAGCCAUAGUGGAAAUGUAAUUGUGUGAUUCCCCACACCCUAGGAUUCUGGCUCCAUAUUAAUAACAGAUACCCCGCAAAAACGCCGUCCUUGGUGAAAUUCCAUCCGCAAUGGGACCAAAACCCGUCAAUCGAAGAGUGGCACAAAACCUUCAACUGGUCAUACCCCGACACGACCACACCCCUCACCACCACCACAUGCCUCUUUAAUCCGAGAGGCUUCACCACGAGCUACCCACAAGAACCUGGCACCGCUAUUCUUCACCGCAGCAAUGAUUUCGUCCAUUUGGGCUUUGCAAACAGAAAGGAAACUACCAUGAGAAAUGUACAAAACAGAGGAUUUGGGGUGAUAAUUCAGCCAUUGCACAGUUAUUGUCAUUGUCAUUAUCUUCAAAUAUGAAGUAAGGUAUUGCUGGACUGAUAGAGUAGAUGGGGAUGGGAAUUGUUUUCCUUAGGGCGUCGAUGGUGUGGGAUUCAACAUAAAUGAGACUUUUGAUUUACAACAUAAAGCACCACAACAGUAAUUCAGAUAUACACUCUUGUAUGAAAAAUUUCAAUUGAGGAUUACUAUUUUUUAUGUGGGAUAAAAUAUCUGCCUAAUUAUAUUCCAAGUUGAGCACGUCGCCUGAAUGGUCACGUCGCCAGUUCUCCAAAUGUAUUGCUAGUCACCCAUCGCAUUAUCGUCAAUGGAUCACCUCGCCUAUAUGUGUAUGAAUCUUUCCUCCAGCUCGCCAGUAGGCGAGAUCAUUCACAUUGUUAUAUCAGAGACCGUUUCCAUGAAAGCUCUCUCUCCACAAGGAUUCUAUUUUAGAGUUUUUCUCCAUCACGCUCCUACCAAAUCAGAGUCCAUCUCCACGAGAAUUCUGUUUUCACAGGAAAACAAUAUCUACCAUAAUCUUGCAGGCUGCUCUCCAUAUGACAUUCACUUGUUAUCUCUCCGUUAUCUCAAGGAUAUACUUCCCAAACAUGGCUACCCAAAAAUCUCUCCAUAAUAUCCUCACACAGAUCUCUAGUCUCCACUUAUAUAAAAGGUCACUCCCUCAUUACUAAAAAGGUACGCUCAAUACACAUCAUUCAUUCAGAAAGCUUUGUUAUUUUGAUCUUAUACUCAUCUUGGUCUGAUUCCCAUACCGGAGGGAUUUUGAGUGGUCUCGCCCUGGUUAUUUACUUUUGUUUAUCUGUGCAGGUUGCCCGAGUCGUGGCCUAGAUCCAGUAUCGAGGUCAAGAGCAAUAUUGACUGUUGGUUGUUCACCCCAAUUUUGUACCACAACAAUUUUAGUUAACUGUUUUCUUUUACUUUUGUUAAUUUUAAUCAAAAUUCUUGCUUGUACAUUCUAGCUACGAGAAGAAUCUAAAAUUUUGAUAAAAUUCUAAAAAAAUGGUACCAAAAACAAAAACAAAAAAACUUUUUUUUUUGUAUAAAUUAGCUAAUUUGUUGUUUUAGUUAGAUUAAAAAAUUACUUUUUAAGCAUCUAUAAAAUUGAACAAAAAAAAUGACAGAUUUUAAAAGGGGAUUAUUUCACUUUAUCCCUUGUGGUUAACUCGACAACACAUGAACCCCUUAUAGUUCAAAAGUCCACAUGAUCCUUGUGAUUUGAACUAAAUUGUGUUAUUUGGACUGAAUCCUUCAUCUUUAACGGUGAGUGUUUUACACGUGCAUAGUAGGGCGUGAAAACGUGUUUUUCCGCCAAAAUGGGCAAACAAAAAAGUCAAUAUUACCCUUGCAAACUCUCAAAAUUCAAUAUAAGACUAAGGGCCAUAUAAAAUUCUCUGUCACACGCACACUUAAGCUUAAACAUCGAUACUACGAUGAACUAACAACCAACCAUAUCCUAAGGGCAUAAGUGAGUUAGCCGCUUACUUACUAAUAUUGCAGUCAGUGCGUCCUUACUAGCAUCGAGCUGCGCUAUAAAAAAGGAUAUAUAUUUUUUCUCUUUGACAAAUUUACCCUCUCGAUAUUUGCUAUAUUUGUUUCAUUUGUCACCACAUCAAAACAUUGGUACAAAUUUGAAGGAAAGAAAUUUAAACAAAGAAAAAUCAAAUUGUGUCAACUCAAAGAAAACCCUUUCCAGUAAAUUAUGCUGAGAUGAACUUUCAGGGGAAAGUUAGACAAAUCAUUGUCCUCUAAAACCCUGCCAACAAAUUAAUUUCCACAUAUUGGGGUCCUAUUAAUUGUUUUAUUUUUUGUUAUUACAAAUAACUAUCUAAUUUUUGCAAAACAGUUGUAUCCAAUACACAAACUCUCUCACAUAACACAUAUAUAUGAGUCUCAGACAUGAUAGUUCAGCAUUCACACAUCCCUUCCGAGAAUGAUUACACACUCAUUUUAGUACAACACAAGUAGUUACGUGGACGAGUGAAAAAAUUCAUUUUUGGAAAGGUAUGGUCAUUGUCCUUUCUAUUCCAGUCCACUGAAGGGUAUUUCCGUAAAAUCAAAUAUUGUAUGGAAAAAGCUUAGCCCAUUGUUAAAAACCCCUGCUCUGCUCUGCUCUGCUCUGCUCUGUUUCUCCAACAUCUUGUAUCUUCUUCUUCACGUCUAUUCCAUUCCCAUACUUCAUUAUUGACUCAGAAAAAUGGAGCCUGUACACGUGGAAGCAACCAUCGGAUGCCACGUGGUGGCCAUGCCCUAUCCCGGUAGAGGUCACAUCAACCCGAUGAUGAACCUCUGCAAGCUUAGCUACUCGUAUCAAGAAAGGACCGAAUUGCCAUCACGUUCGUGGUCACCGAGGAGUGGCUCAGCAUCCUCGGCUCUGAACCCAAGCCGGUCAAGGUCCGUUUCGCCACUGUUCCCAACGUAAUCCCGUCGGAGAGAUGCCGAGGCACCGAUUUUCCAAGCUUCUUUGAAGCCGUAAUGACCAAGCUGCAGGAGCCGUUCGAGCGACUGCUGGAUCGUCUCGAGCCGAGCGUCAUCGUGUACGACACUUUCCUGGCGUGGAUGGUCGGCGUCGGGAAUCGGAGGAAUAUUCCGGUGGCUUCGCUCUGGACGACGCCGGCGGGGGGCGGAAACCUCUGAUAAUUUUUUUUGAAAACUUGGUAAAUUGGAUACAAAUUAAUUCUCCAUUAUUAUUAUUUUAUAUUAAAAUAAAUAAAUAAAUAUAAUAUUCGUAAUAUAUUAUUAUUAAAUUAUAAUAAAAAAUACUAAACACUACAACCCGACAACUGUGUCCCAAAUAAAAAAUCUCCACGAGACUUAAAAAAAAAAACACCUGCCAUAAAAUUGUAAGAAGACAAAGUGAUCAAGACUUCUCCUUUGCAAUAGAAUUUAGGUGAGGAGAGUAGGAGCGAGAUUUUUUUUCACUUCAUUUAAGAUUAUCCUAAUUAGACUUUCUCUAAUUAAUCAUCAUCUCUCUCUAAACUUGAUAAAAAAAAACACUUAUUUUCAUCCCUCCUGACUAUCUCUUUCUCUUUCUCUUCGCAAGUGAAUCGAGGAGAAGACGGUUUAAUUGGUGUCUGGCACCGUGAAAACGAUGUCGAUGAGAGAAGAUGACGAUAUUGAGGAACAUGAUGACUACAAUGAGUUUAAGAAGAAAGUAUGAAGAAAACCACGUAAAAUGUUUAUCUUGAUUUAAUACAAAUCACGCGAUUCAAUCUUUAACCCGACCUGUUAAAUCAAACACUAAUUCGUUAUGAUAAUUUUAUAUAAUUUAAUAUUUCAUAAAACAACCACUGGUUUGACUAUGAUACGUUUAUCAUAACAGUUUGUUAUUAACUAGUUAAUGAUUUAAUUUUAAUUAAUAUAUCAUGAUAAAAUAGUUUUUGUAAAUUAGAUACUGAUUUAUUUAUGAUAAAGUUAUCAUAACAAAAAUAUUUUAUAAACCAUACACUUCAGUUUUGUGAAAUGGUUGAAGAUUAUAUAAAAAUUAUCAUAAAAAUAUCUUUAAAUGGUUUUAGUUUAUUGUAA
rnacentral:lncRNA from 1 species